ensembl:lncRNA
UAAAGUUCCAGUCAUCUUGACGUCCAUUCUCUGAAAAUGACCAAACAUAAUUAAAUCACUGAUAAGUGCCUGGACAUGGGAGUAAAGUAUGGCCGAUUCGGUUUCCAACUGUGACACUGCUGAACCUGUGGUUUUGUGAAUCACAGUAGAUGUCAUUGUACCAAGUUUUGUAAGACUUUUGAUGUCCUCCCUAAUACUUUCAACAGUGAUCUGAAGAUGUUUGAUCAAAGUGGAAAGACAAUUGGGUGGGUGCAAAUAAGAAACGCCAAAGGAAAGUGGAACAAAACACUGCUUUCAUUUCAAAGGACUCUUUGAGAAUGUUUCACUGUCUCUAGAGCUGGAGGACUAAGAAUGAAAAAAAUACAUCUGGAUUGAUGGACGCAUUAUUGGAUUGUGCUUUAGGAUAAGAAAUGGAAGAUGGUCUGCUUUUGAUGAACCUAAGAAUACAAAAAUGUCAACUGGAAUACCAAUGCAGAAAAAUAGAAAUUCAGAGGAUAUGGUGUGUUUUAGAAGAAAAGUUAGACUGGAAAUUGACUUCUCAGAAGUGAGGUGUAUUUCUGUUAGACCAAUGGACCCUGAGCUUUUCUGCAGAAAACGGGUUCUGAGAACUGGUGGCCAAAUGAUGUUCAACAUAUACCUAUUGAAAGACAACGGAAAUCAGAGCUUUUCUCUGCUAGAAGGAUAUAGAACUUUCUUUCCUUGGGUUUAAGUUGAAUGACUGCUUCAUAUUUAUGUAGUUAUACUGAUCUUGUUACUAGUUAUUUACUGUUCCGCUUUGGAAAAUGAAGAUGUCUUACCAAUACCAAUGUUUUUAUGGGGACCAUGUUAGGACCCUUACUGAGGGUGCUAAUUCAAGAAAUAAGAACACUGAAAAAAAUUCUAUGCUAUAUUAAAAUAUUUCUUGAUGUUAAAACUUUCAGGAGUAUCCAACCCUUUUAUAUUGUUUGAAAAAUUCUAAGUUGCUCCACUAACUUAUAAGGAGAUAUUUAGAGGAUAUACAUGUCUGAAGGAGAGACUUUAGCCAAAACACAAUCAAAACUAGUCUUUCUGACACUAAAUGAACUGAUAUUCUUAUAAAUGUACACUUGAGUAGUAAAGCAUGUUUUAGGUAGAAAGGAGAUACUUUAAGUUUAUGGUCUAUCCAGGUUCUUUUUAUUUUUUUAUUUAUUUUUUUUUAAUUUGAGAUUCAAAGAUAAUUUUCUCUAUUGCACAGGGAUUAUAGGAAAAAGGUAGUUUGCUGUAUUUUUCUGUUGCUACUACAAAACUGUUUUCUCAGCAGUCACAGAAACCCCAAAGAUCUGCAGAAGUGUACAUGAUGUUCAGUUUUGUCAAUUUAGACUUCAGUUUUCUGUUUGUAAAACAAUGAGAGGAGAGCUGAGGGGACUUGGUGGGAACAAGUGGGUAUCUAACAGUGUUGUGAACAGUAGAUGACAUGAAUUAAGUGAAUGAGAAAAGGGCUGGACUGCUUUUUGUGGUUCCUAGGCAAUAGAAUGUGUAACAGUGUUGAAGAGGCUGCAGUGGAGAAAAGAGUUCUCAUUUUGUUUCCAGCAUGUAAAUUGUCUCUUCUCUUCUACAUCCCUCGAGUAUGGGGCUUCCUUCACUCCUGUAGUUGCCUUACACUUGGUUCCUACACUCUAACUCUUCAAAAAUUGGGCACUCAGACUUGUGUGCCCUUAGUAACACUUAAGAACUGUUUUUAAAAGGAAGAGGUAAAAGCUAAUUUAGAAAGCUGACACUUGAGAAAACUUUCUUAGCUGUAAGAUAUGCAAUUUUAUGCAGAAUGACUACAAAACUAGCAUUUUUAUCUGAGCAAAAUCUCAACUGAAAACACUAUUCAAGUGACAUUUAUUCUGUAGAAUGCCUACUGAUUUACUUGAGGCUUCCUAAAAAAAAAAAAAUAAAAUAAAAACAACCAUACUCCCCUCCCA